CUCCCCAGAAACAGGUCCAUAAGCGCAUGUAAAACACUAAGCUCUGGGAGGGCAGGGGGAGUCUCAGCACUCACUUGGAAGAAAAACUAGUUUUGGUGUAGUAGUAGAUCCUGUAACAGGAGUCAGAAACACGGAUCUGAAAGAUGGUGUUCCUACCAGGAGGCCACUCACUGUGGGGUCAGUCCUCAGGGCACUGCAGGGGCAUCCCAGCAGGUGGUAACGAUAUCUCCACUUCAAGAUAAGAAACCUCCAGUUCGCACAGCGGGAAAGCUUUGGGGUAGGAGCUGACCCCAGGAGGCGAGAGCUGCAUGAUGGAGGUUGCUGUGCGUGCAGUCUAGUGACUACAGGGCAAGAGCUGCUCACACCUGCUGCGCUGCCUCCAACUCUCGGGUCAAAGGCUUCGAUUCUCUCCUUCCCCAUCUAACGGAGGCGGGGGGCGGGGCGGGGGAGAGUGUUAAAAACAACGAGGUUUUGAGGUUUUUAAAUUUUUGCCUUUUGUUUUAGUUCUCUGGCUCAAGAGUAAACAGUUGGUAAGUUAUGGGCAGGAAUCUAAAAAGUAUUUGACAGGAUUCUCACUUUCAAAAGAUGCUAUUCAGAGACUUAUUCUUUUACUUAUAACAGAUUGGGAGAAUUAAUAAAAGUUCUCAACACUGAAAAUAUAAAAUGUUUGAAAUAUUUGAGCAUAUCAGAAACUAGCAGCUCUUUGCUUUAUCUUAGGGGAACAGAAUGGUGUCUGGAGAGCACUGCAUUUGAUAAAAUAUUGGCAAAA
rnacentral:lncRNA from 1 species